AUCUUUUUUCUCGCACACACAGAUAAUCCUCACAAAAUCCAAAGUGAACAACUUCAAAAGAGACUUUCUAAUAAACAACAACCAAAAGAAAGAAAGAAAGCAAACAAAGAAACAAAAUGAAAUU
rnacentral:rRNA from 1 species